AGGUUUAAAUAGGCGAAUUUCAGCGUCAUUCAUAUUUCUUAUAAAAUAUUUAAAUGAAUAUCCGAGAAGCAUAUAAUGAUAAAAUAAGAAGGAAGGGAACCUCUUCGCGGCGAGUUAGGCCUCAGGGCCCGGAUUUCUUGGGGUCAUUGCAUUUCUACCUUCAUUGCCUGGAUUCGUUUGCAUGUACUAAAAACAGGCCGUUAUGUGAUGCGCGGCCAACUCAUAGAAUGGGAAGAGGGAGCUGAAACCUGAUUGAGUGAAAGGAAGACGAAAAGAGAAGAACCCACGGGAUUCAAAAGUCCUCAUAGAAACCUUUCUUCAUCCACAGUAACAGGAGCCCUGGAUAGGAGAGCGGAUAAAGUUUUGCUGUGAUAGUUACGGCUGAUCUGCCCUCUUUGAAGGGUAUGUAUUUUGUGAUAGGGUCAAAUGAAUUUUUGUGGGAAAUGACCCCUAGGACUCUUUUGAGUGGUUUAUAUAUGUAUAUACAGUGGAUAUAGCAACUCUGAUAUUGUGAUGGAUGGUAUUGUAUAGGGUAUCAUGGGUUAUUUAUGAUUUUAUGUUUCCUGCUACUUAGAUUUCCAUACUGUAUUUCUAUUGUAUCCCUGGUACCCACAGGGUCAGGUGGAUUAUGAUCUACUGGAAUUGUUAUAACGGGUUUUAUUAUAUAAUGAAAAAAAAAAAAUAUAAGUGGAAUUUAA